rnacentral:rRNA from 1 species
UACGUAGGGGCCAAGCGUUGUCCGGAUUUAUUGGGCGUAAAGAGCUCGUAGGCGGUUCGGCAAGUCAGCUGUGAAAUCUCCACGCUCAACGUGGAGGGGUCAGCUGAUACUGCUGUGACUUGAGUCCGGUAGGGGAGUGUGGAAUUCCCGGUGUAGCGGUGAAAUGCGCAGAUAUCGGGAGGAACACCAGUAGCGAAGGCGGCACUCUGGGCCGGUACUGACGCUGAGGAGCGAAAGCGUGGGGAGCAAACGGG